GUCAGGCACAGUGGCACAUGCCUAUAAUCCCAGCAACUCAGGAGGCUGAGGCAGGAGGAUCACAAAUUCUAGGCCAGCUUCAGCAACUUAGUGAAGCCCUAGGUAACUUAGUGAGACCCUGUCUCAA
rnacentral:sRNA from 1 species